GAGGUUAAGCGACUAAGCGUACACGGUGGAUGCCCUGGCAGUCAGAGGCGAUGAAGGGCGUACUAAUCUGCGAUAAGCGCCGGUAAGGUGAUAUGAACCGUUAUAACCGGCGAUACCCGAAUGGGGAAACCCAGUGUGACUCGUCACACUAUCAUUAACUGAAUCCAUAGGUUAAUGAGGCGAACCGGGGGAACUGAAACAUCUAAGUACCCCGAGGAAAAGAAAUCAACCGAGAUUCCCCCAGUAGCGGCGAGCGAACGGGGAGGAGCCCAGAGCCUGAAUCAGCAUGUGUGUUAGUGGAAGCGUCUGGAAAGGCGCGCGAUACAGGGUGACAGCCCCGUACACAAAAGCGCAUGUGCUGUGAGCUCGAUGAGUAGGGCGGGACACGUGGUAUCCUGUCUGAAUAUGGGGGGACCAUCCUCCAAGGCUAAAUACUCCUGACUGACCGAUAGUGAACCAGUACCGUGAGGGAAAGGCGAAAAGAACCCCGGCGAGGGGAGUGAAAAAGAACCUGAAACCGUGU
rnacentral:rRNA from 1 species